GGGGAUUCCAUUAAUCUGACCCAGGCUCCAGGGUAGGUGUCUCAUUGAGGGGAUUCCAUUAAUCUGACCCAGGCUCCAGGGUAGGUGUCUCAUUGAGGGGAUUCCAUUAAUCUGACCCAGGCUCCAGGGUAGGUGUCUCAUUGAGGGGAUUCCAUUAAUCUGACCCAGGCUCCAGGGUAGGUGUCUCAUUGAGGGGAUUCCAUUAAUCUGACCCGGUCUCCAGGGUAGGUGUGUUUUGCACCGGGUGAAAGUGAAUUGCAUUAGUUUAGGAACCGGGCUGCUUCCCGGGUGUGAACCAGGUUCCCCGUUCAAAGCCCAGGACGAAGUCGGCUCAAAACAUAAGUGCCGAAAUUAAACACGUGGAGUGAUGAGUAGGAUUGUGUGUUAAGGGUCGACGGCAGAGGUGUGGUAUUGGUUAAGGGUCGACGGCGGAGGUGUGGUAUUGGUUAAGGGUCGACGGCGGAGGUGUGGUAUUGGUUAAGGGUCGACGUCGGAGGUGUGGUAUUGGUUAAGGGUCGACGGCGGAGGUGUGGUAUUGGUUAAGGGUCGACGGCAGAGGUGUGGUAUUGGUUAAGGGUCGACGGCAGAGGUGUGGUAUUGGUUAAAUACAUUGAACUAAAGUGCUAAAGAACACCAACAUAUAAAGUGCUGGUCCCAUGUUUCAUGAACUGAAAUAAGAACAUCUCAGACAUUUUCCAUACGCACAAAAAGCUUUAUUUUAUCACAAAUGUGUUUAUAUCCCUGUUAGUGAGCAUUUAUCCUGUGCCCAGAUAAUCCAUCCACCUGACAGGUGUGGCAAAUCAAGAAGCUGAUUAAACAGCAUGGCCAUCACACCAGUGCAUCUGGUGCAGUUGACAUUAAAAAGGCCACUAAAAUGUGCAGUUUUGUCACACAACAGAUGUCUCAAGUUGAAGGAGUGUGCAGUAAUGUCAACCAGAGGUGUUGAUGUUCAUUAUUCUACCAUAAACCGCCUCCUAUGUCGUUACAGAUAAUUUAGCAGUAUAUUUAGUCGUCUUAUGGCUUGGAUGUAGAAGCUGGGGAGGGGGGGGGGGGUCACUCGGUUUACCGACCUUCACCUCGGUGAUCAGAUGACCGAAGCUCGUGAGCGGGAUCCGUGUCUUUACCGGGGAAGUUGGCAUGGCUGAGGAAACGGUUCACAACAAGAUAACAUUAUUGGCUG
rnacentral:lncRNA from 1 species